rnacentral:rRNA from 1 species
UACAGAGGGGGCAAGCGUUGUUCGGAAUUACUGGGCGUAAAGGGCGCGUAGGCGGCCUUCUAAGUCGAACGUGAAAUCCCCGGGCUCAACCCGGGAACUGCGUCCGAUACUGGAAGGCUUGAAUCCGGGAGAGGGAUGCGGAAUUCCAGGUGUAGCGGUGAAAUGCGUAGAUAUCUGGAGGAACACCGGUGGCGAAGGCGGCAUCGACCAUUACUGACACUGAAUAGCGAAAGCCAGGGGAGCAAACGGG